rnacentral:rRNA from 1 species
CACCGGCGGACUGCUCAGUAACACGUGGACAACCUACCCUCGGGUGGGGGAUAACCUCGGGAAACUGAGGCUAAUACCCCAUAGGCCUCGGAUACUGGAAGGUUCCGAGACCGAAAGCUCCGGCGCCCGAGGAUGGGUCUGCGGCCUAUCAGGUAGUUGGUGGUGUAAAGGACCACCAAGCCUACGACGGGUACGGGCCCUGAGAGGGGGAGCCCGGAGAUGGACUCUGAGACACGAGUCCAGGCCCUACGGGGCGCAGCAGGCGCGAAACCUUCGCAAUGCGCGAAAGCGCGACGAGGGGAGCCCGAGUGCCCUUCCUUUCGGGAGGGCUUUUCUGGAGCCUAAAAAGCUCCAGGAAUGAGGGCUGGGCAAGACGGGUGCCAGCCGCCGCGGUAAUACCCGCAGCUCGAGUGGUGGCCACUAUUAUUGAGCCUAAAGCGUCCGUAGCCGGACCCGUAAAUCCCUGGGUAAAUCCUGGCGCUCAACGUCAGGAAUUCCGGGGAGACUGCGGGUCUUGGGACCGGGAGAGGCCGGAGGUACUCCCGGGGUAGGGGUAAAAUCCUGUAAUCCCGGGGGGACCACCUGUGG